UAGGGAAUCUUCCGCAAUGGACGAAAGUCUGACGGAGCAACGCCGCGUGAGUGAAGAAGGAUUUCGGUUCGUAAAACUCUGUUGUUAGGGAAGAAAAAAUGUAUAGUAACUAUAUACAAAAGAGACGGUACCUAACCAGAAAGCCACGGCUAACUACGUGCCAGCAGCCGCGGUAAUACGUAGGUGGCAAGCGUUGUCCGGAAUUAUUGGGCGUAAAGCGCGCGCAGGUGGUUUAGAAAGUCUGAUGUGAAAGCCCACGGCUCAACCGUGGAGGGUCAUUGGAAACUAAUAAACUUGAGUGCAGGAGAGAGAAGUGGAAUUCCUAGUGUAGCGGUGAAAUGCGUAGAGAUUAGGAGGAACACCGGUGGCGAGAGCGGCUUUUUGGCCUGCAACUGACACUGAGGCGCGAGAGCGUGGGGAGCAAACAGG
rnacentral:rRNA from 1 species